UCAGGAUUGGCCGGACUGUGGU
rnacentral:misc_RNA from 1 species